rnacentral:tRNA from 1 species
GCCGGAAUGGCGGAAUUGGUAUACGCACACGACUCAAAAUCGUGCGCCUCACGGCUUGUGGGUUCGAGUCCCACUUCCGGCA